AUUGAACGCUGGCGGCAGGCUUAACACAUGCAAGUCGAGCGGUAGAGGGGAGCUUGCUUCCUUUGAGAGCGGCGGACGGGUGAGGAAUGCCUAGGAAUCUGCCUGGUAGUGGGGGACAACGUUCGGAAACGGACGCUAAUACCGCAUACGUCCUACGGGAGAAAGUGGGGGAUCUUCGGACCUCACGCUAUCAGAUGAGCCUAGGUCGGAUUAGCUAGUUGGUAGGGUGAAGGCCUACCAAGGCGACGAUCCGUAACUGGUCUGAGAGGAUGAUCAGUCACACUGGAACUGAGACACGGUCCAGACUCCUACGGGAGGCAGCAGUGGGGAAUAUUGGACAAUGGGCGCAAGCCUGAUCCAGCCAUGCCGCGUGUGUGAAGAAGGUCUUCGGAUUGUAAAGCACUUUAAGUUGGGAGGAAGUUCAGUAAGUUAAUACCUUGUUGAAUUGACGUUACCGACAGAAUAAGCACCGGCUAACUCUGUGCCAGCCGCCGCAGUAAUAC
rnacentral:rRNA from 1 species